AACAAAUAUGAAUGAUAAUAAAAUAAAAUAGAGAUUAUAGAACUUAUCUUUAUUGAUUUCGUCAACCGCAACAUAAGCAAUCUUGAACUUUCAAACCAUGAAUGACAUGGAAAAUAGUGAACCGUGAUACAAUACCUGAGGCGUGCUGAUCGCACUGUUCUUAAGGAUUUAUCCGCCUCAUAAGCGCAAAUCCCCCAGGAUUCAACAGGUCCUUCCCGGAUAUAAAUCAUAUCCGAGGUUACAGAACUAGCAAGGAUUAAUAGACACCGGUGAUGUAAUCCAGGAAGAUAACACCUCAAUUUAAAAGGAAAGGUAAUAUUGGUUUAUAUUGAAAACUCUAUGUGCCCAAAAUCAAUCAUGUAUUCGUACCAUUCCUUUCUUAACAUACGUACAAAUAUAUACAUGAGAGAAACCUUUUUUUUCAUUGUAACCAUCAUGUAGCUAUUAACUAGGAGUAAGUGGGUAUUAACCACUUAUUAAUAACGAAAAACACAUGUUUAUUGACCAAGUAAAACGUUAACAACUUAUUAAUAAUAAUGAUGAUAAUUAUAUAUUAUUAAAAGGACUUUAAAAUAAAUUAUUUUGUCAAAAUAUACAACA
rnacentral:lncRNA from 1 species